rnacentral:rRNA from 1 species
UACGUAGGUGGCAAGCGUUGUCCGGAUUUACUGGGUGUAAAGGGCGUGCAGCCGGAGAGACAAGUCAGAUGUGAAAUCCACGGGCUCAACCCGUGAACUGCAUUUGAAACUGCUUCCCUUGAGUGUCGGAGAGGUAAUCGGAAUUCCUUGUGUAGCGGUGAAAUGCGUAGAUAUAAGGAAGAACACCAGUGGCGAAGGCGGAUUACUGGACGAUAACUGACGGUGAGGCGCGAAAGCGUGGGGAGCAAACAGG